AAACCAACAGGGAUUGCCUCAGUAACGGCGAGUGAAGCGGCAAAAGCUCAAAUUUGAAAUCCUCCGGGAGUUGUAAUUUGAAGGACCUAUUAAAACCCUGCCCCAGCCCAAAGUCCAUUGGAAAAUGGCGCCAGAGAAGGUGACAGCCCUGUGUGGCGCUGGGACAGCAUACUUUUUAGGCCCAAAGAGUCGAGUUGUUUGGGAAUGCAGCUCUAAGUGGGUGGUAAAUUCCAUCUAAAGCUAAAUAUUGGCGAGAGACCGAUAGCGAACAAGUACAGUGAUGGAAAGAUGAAAAGCACUUUGAAAAGAGAGUGAAAAAGUACGUGAAAUUGUUGAAAGGGAAGGGCUUGCAAGCAGACACAACCUCGGUUGGGCCAGCAUCGGGGCGCGGGGAAGCAAAAAAGCAGGGGAACGUGGCUCACUUCGAGUGUUAUAGCCCCUGCCAAUACUUCCACCGCAUCCCGAGGCCUGCGAUUCUUCAAGGAUGCUGGCGUAAUGGUUGCAAGUCGCCCGUCUUGAAACACGGAC
rnacentral:rRNA from 1 species